GUCGCUCACGCUGGGAGCUGUAGACUGGAGCUGUUCCUAUUUGGCCAUCUUGGCUCCUCCCCCAACUUUUUUUCAAUGUUAGAUGUUUUAAAUUACUGAUUCAAUUUUAGAAGAGGUUAUUGGUUUAUUCAGGUUUUCAUUAUCAUCCUAGAUCGUUGUUGAAAGAUUGCAUGUUUCCAGGAAUGUAUCAAUUUCCUCUAGAUUUUCUUCCUUGUGUGCAUAGAAGUGGUCAUAAUUGUCUCUGAGGAUCUUUUGUAUUUCUGUGGGAAGAAUCAUAAUGUCAUCUUUUUCAUGUUUGAUUGUACUUAUUUGGAUCUUCCCUUUUUUCUUUGUUAAUCUAAUGAGUUGGUUAUUAAUCUUUGUUUAUUCUUUUGAAGAACCAACUCUUGGUUUCACUGAUCUUUGGCAUAGAUUUAUUUUGUCAGUAUUUUGGUCAGCUCUUCUCUGAUUUUAUCUAUUUCUUUUCUUCUCAGUUUUGGAAUUGGUUUAUUUGUUUGUUUCUAGUUUCUUUAGGUGUGAUGUUAUAUUGUUAAUUGGCAAUCUUUAUAACUUCUUGAUGAAGAUGUUGAGAGCUAUAAAUUUUUACCUAAAUACUUCUUUAGCUGCAUCCCAAACAUUUUGGAGAAUUGUGUCUAUAUUUUCAUUAAUUUCAAAUUUUUUUUAUUUCUGCCUUAAUUUUCUUGUUCACCCAAGAGUUAUUCAGGAGCAGUUUGUUUAAUUUCUAUGUAUUUGCAUUGUUUGGAAAGAUGUAUUGGUUUCUACUCUUUUUUUUUUUUUUUUUUUUUUUGCACUGUGGUGCAAAAAUGUGCCUGAUAUGAUUUCACCUUUUUUGAAUUUAUUGAGACUUUCUAUAACUGAGCAUGUGAUUGAUAUUAAAACAUAUUCCUUGUGCAGAUGAGAAGAAUGUUUAUUUUGUGGUUAUUGGGUUGAGUAUUCUGUAGAUGUCUGUUAGGUCAGAUUGGCCAAGUGUUGAGUUUAAGUCCAGAAUUUCUUCAUUAGUUUUUUGCCUUGAUAAUCUGUCUAAAGCUGUCAGUGGGGUUUUGAAGUCUCCCACAAUUAUUGUGUAGCUGUUUUAGUUAUUUUGCUUUUUCUUAACCUAAUCUCAAAUGUAAUAGUAGCUGUCUAAGUUUUCGUAAGGUAAAGAACUUGAUUUAUGAAUCUGGGUGCUCCAAGGUUGGGUGCAUAUAGUAUAAGGUUAGUUAAGUAUUCUUGUUGAAUUGAACCCUGUAUUUAUUAUGUAAUGCCCUUCUUAUUUUUCUUGAUUGUUUUUGGUUUAAAGCCUCUUUUAUCUCAUAGCAACUGCAACUCCUGCUCUUUUCUGUUUUCCAUUUGCAUGAUAGAUCCUUUUUCUUUGUGUGGGUGGGUGUCAGUACACGUGAGAUGGGUCUUUUAAAGAUGGCAGACAGUUGGCUCUUAUCUUUUUAUCCAACAUGCCACUCUGUGCCUUUUAGGUGGGUAAUGGCUAGCAGAUGCGCCCUUACUCAGCCACAUAGCUCUUUUGUAUUUUAGCACAUUUGCAGCAGUGCUCUGUGGUGAUAGAGGAGAGAGAGAGAAUUCUCUCACUAGGUCCCUUCAUGGGCCUUGGAGAGCCACCCCUGAUCACUGGCGCUACACCCACAUUUUCUUUGUUAUGGGUUUUGGGCCAUGGAACUCCCUCUGGCAGAGGCUACGGCUGGCAUACAGGCCACACUCUUCCUAGACCAGCCCUGUACAGGAAGGUCCACAAGCUCACUAGCUCCUGCACUGGCCCAUAAGUCCACCUGUGUCACCCCUCUCGGUGUUCUGAGAGUCGGGGCUCCUCCUCUGAUCAACUUCUAGCCACAGAUCUCUGCUCAGCACUCCUGAACUGCAAGUUGCUGCCCUGGGGCAUUGGGACCCACCAGUGGCUUCAUCCUCCAGCUCCUUGGGGUUGUGUACCAGUUGCACUGGGGAUUGGAUGUGUUCCCAGGCCACCGGGAAGUACUUAGGUGGGGCUCCCAGAAAGCACCAAGGCUGGACAAUGGGGGCUGCAGUCUGUACACAUUCCUGCAGGAGUGGCCAGGAAGGGACCCUAGGAGAGGCUAGCCAGCAG
rnacentral:lncRNA from 10 species